rnacentral:rRNA from 1 species
UACGUAGGGUGCGAGCGUUGUCCGGAAUUAUUGGGCGUAAAGAGCUUGUAGGCGGUUUGUCGCGUCUGCUGUGAAAUUUCGGGGCUCAACCCCGAACUUGCAGUGGGUACGGGCAGGCUAGAGUUCGGUAGGGGAGACUGGAAUUCCUGGUGUAGCGGUGAAAUGCGCAGAUAUCAGGAGGAACACCGGUGGCGAAGGCGGGUCUCUGGGCCGAUACUGACGCUGAGGAGCGAAAGCGUGGGGAGCGAACAGG